rnacentral:rRNA from 1 species
UCCAAUCGAACUCGGAUAUAGCUGGUUCUCCUCGAAAUAGCUUUAGGGCUAGCCUCAAGGUAAAGAUACACGGGGGUAGAGCACUGACUGUUCGCGGGGCCUUCACCGGUUACCAACAACUAUCAAACUCCGAAUACCGUGGUAUCAUACUUGGGAGUCAGACUAUGAGAGAUAAGUUCCAUGGUCGAAAGGGAAACAGCCCAGAUCAACAGCUAAGGUCCCAAAGAGUAAGUUAAGUGGAAAAGGAUGUGGGAUUGCACAAACAGCUAGGAUGUUGGCUUAGAAGCAGCCAUACAUUUAAAGAGUGCGUAAUAGCUCACUAGUCGAGUGAUCCUGCGCCGAAGAUAAACGGGGCUCAAACUUACCACCGAAGCUUUGGAAUUAGUAUAACUAAUUGGUAGAGGAGCAUUCUAUACAGGUAGAAGGAGGCGCGUAAGCAAAUCUGGACGGUAUAGAAGAGAGAAUGUUGGCAUGAGUAGCGUAAGGCGGGUGAGAAUCCCGUCCGCCGAAAAUCUAAGGUUUCCUGAGGAAGGUUCGUCCUCUCAGGGUAAGUCGGGACCUAAGCCGAGAGCGAACGCUGUAGGCGAUGGAUAACAGGUUGAUAUUCCUGUACCACCAAGGAUUGUUUGAAUGAAGUGGGGACACAGAAGGAUAGAUUGAGCACGCCGUUGGUUGAGCGUGUCCAAGCAGUAAGGCUUGAAAGUAGGCAAAUCCGCUUUCUAAAAGGCUGAGCUGUGAUGGGGUGGUCGAAUGACCGGUAGCAAUCGAUUUCACGCUGUCAAGAAAAGCCGCUAAUGAGAUCCAAGGUGCCCGUACCGCAAACCGACACAGGUAGAUGAGGAGAGAAUCCUAAGGUGAGCGAGCGAACUAUUGUUAAGGAACUCGGCAAAAUAACCCCGUAACUUCGGGAGAAGGGGUGCCUGCUUCGGCAGGCCGCAGUGAAGAGGUCCAGGCAACUGUUUACCAAAAACACAGGUCUCUGCUAAAGCGAAAGCUGAUGUAUAGGGGCUGACGCCUGCCCGGUGCUGGAAGGUUAAGGGGAAGUGUUAGGGCAACCGAAGCACAGAACUUAAGCCCCAGUAAACGGCGGCCGUAACUAUAACGGUCCUAAGGUAGCGAAAUUCCUUGUCGGGUAAGUUCCGACCCGCACGAAAGGCGUAAUGAUCUGGACACUGUCUCAACAAUAGGCUCGGUGAAAUUGUAGUACCGGUAAAGAUGCCGGUUACCCGCAGCAGGACGGAAAGACCCCGUGGAGCUUCACUGUAGCUUGAUAUUGAUUUUCGGCAUUGCAUGUACAGGAUAGGUGGGAGACGUUGAGUUCAGCACGCCAGUGUUGGAGGAGUCACCGUUGGGAUACCACCCUUGUAAUGUUGGAAAUCUAACCUAGUACCGUGAUCCGGUACAGGGACAGUGUCAGGUGGGCAGUUUGACUGGGGCGGUCGCCUCCUAAAGAGUAACGGAGGCGCCCAAAGGUUCCCUCAGCGCGGACGGAAAUCGCGCGAAGAGUGCAAAGGCAAAAGGGAGCUUGACUGCGAGACAUACAGGUCGAGCAGGGACGAAAGUCGGGCUUAGUGAUCCGGUGGUUCCGAGUGGAAGGGCCAUCGCUCAACGGAUAAAAGCUACCCCGGGGAUAACAGGCU